CCGUCCAGAUCGCCUAAUCCCUCUUUGCGGAGGGAGCGGGGAACCCAGGGAGUUGGGGCUAAUCUCGCGGCUGACGCUGCGAGACGGGACAUCUCUGGACCCGAGCCCGCCAGCUAACCCCGCCGGCGUGCCAGAGAGGAGGC
rnacentral:sRNA from 1 species